CCGUGGUAACACUUAUUGAAGCCUUUGUGGCCCCGCAAGGGGUCUGCACCGCGACUCUAAAUAAUGGAUGCAGUGCCUAAUUUAUUAGGUAUGCAAGUCAGUUUUUCUUACUGGCGACACUUUCGAAUUGCGGGGAUACCCUAAAGUUGAUAUCUACUAACCUAGCGGGGAAACUCAGUUAGGGGCCUAUGUUAACAGCAUAGGGUACAGUAAAAAGGAUAUGAAAUUAGUUUUUCUGUGAGAAAAACUGAAUGGGCAAUCCGCAGCCAAGUCCCUAAAGCGAUCGUCUUUUCAAGGCGAGCAAAGGGAAAGGUUCACAGACUAAGUGGAAGUGGGCAGGCCUUUAAAAACUCCUGCUUAAGAUAUAGUCGGGCCCCUUGGGAAACCUUGGGGGUAAGUUAUCACGAAAUAAUGAAAACCGUUCCGUAGGUGAACCUGCGGAAGGAUCAUUACUGAGUACCGGGUCUCUCAGGCCCUUACUCCCACCCUUUGUGUACCUUACCAAAUAUUUUAGUUGCCUUGGUGGGCCCCUCCCCCUAAACUUUUAGGGGAACCCACCAUUGGAACUUUCUUUAAACUCUUAUGAAUUGGGUUUGUCUGAGAACAAAAACAAAAUAAAUUAAAACUUUCAACAACGGAUCUCUUGGUUCUGGCAUCGAUGAAGAACGCAGCGAAAUGCGAUAAGUAAUGUGAAUUGCAGAAUUCAGUGAAUCAUCGAAUCUUUGAACGCACAUUGCGCCCUUUGGUAUUCCGAGGGGCAUGUCUGUUCGAGCGUCAUUUCAACCCUCAAGCUUAUGCUUGGUAUUGGGUUUCAUCCUGCCUAAAAGGAUGUGCCUAAAACUCAUUAUGGCGGUUGCACUUAGCUCCCUUGCGUAGUUAUUUAUCUCUCGCUUUGGGAAAGUCUAGGGACAACCCGCCUAAUAAACCUUUUUAUUUUUCUAAGGUUUGACCUCGGAUCAGA
rnacentral:rRNA from 1 species